GGAAGAAGACUCACGCGGCGCAAAGCGUGGUGGUGGCGGCGGCGGCGGUCCCGAGAGGGCAGCCACCCCGGCGGAAUUGAUGGGCGGACGACUGCCGCGUCCCUGAGCGUGAUAUUCUUGCUAUCGCCUCGAGCGCGGCGAGGCACCCAGCCCCGGCCAGUCGCCUCCCGCAUCGGAGAGUGUGAUAUUUUGCUAUCGCCUCCCGAGCGGCUAGGCUGCCAGCCCUGCCACCCGGGCAGGGCAGGGAGACCCGUGUCAUU
rnacentral:misc_RNA from 1 species